rnacentral:rRNA from 1 species
GUAGGUGGCAAGCGUUGUCCGGAAUUAUUGGGCGUAAAGCGCGCGCAGGCGGUUCUUUAAGUCUGAUGUGAAAGCCCACGGCUCAACCGUGGAGGGUCAUUGGAAACUGGAGAACUUGAGUACAGAAGAGGAAAGCGGAAUUCCACGUGUAGCGGUGAAAUGCGUAGAGAUGUAGAGGAACACCAGUGGCGAAGGCGGCUUUCUGGUCUGUAACUGACGCUGAGGCGCGAAAGCGUGGGGAGCAAACAGGGAUUAGAUACCCUGGUAGUCCACGCCGUAAACGAUGAGUGCUAAGUGUUAGGGGGUUUCCGCCCCCUUAGUGCUGCAGCUAACGCAUUAAGCACUCCGCCUGGGAGUACGGCCGCAAGGCUG